AGUGAACGCUGGCGGUAGGCCUAACACAUGCAAGUCGAACGGCAGCACAGUAAGAGCUUGCUCUUACGGGUGGCGAGUGGCGGACGGGUGAGGAAUACAUCGGAAUCUACUUUUUCGUGGGGGAUAACGUAGGGAAACUUACGCUAAUACCGCAUACGACCUACGGGUGAAGGCAGGGGAUCUUCGGACCUUGCGCGAUUGAAUGAGCCGAUGUCGGAUUAGCUAGUUGGCGGGGUAAAGGCCCACCAAGGCGACGAUCCGUAGCUGGUCUGAGAGGAUGAUCAGCCACACUGGAACUGAGACACGGUCCAGACUCCUACGGGAGGCAGCAGUGGGGAAUAUUGGACAGUGGGCGCAAGCCUGAUCCAGCCAUACCGCGUGGGUGAAGAAGGCCUUCGGGUUGUAAAGCCCUUUUGUUGGGAAAGAAAAGCAGCAGGUUAAUACCCCGCUGUUCUGACGGUACCCAAAGAAUAAGCACCGGCUAACUUCGUG
rnacentral:rRNA from 1 species